UUGACGGAGUCUCGCACUGUCGCCCAGGCUGGAGGGCAGUGGCGCCAUCUCGGCUCACUGCAAGCUCCGCCUCCCGGGUUCACUCCAUUUUCCCGCCUCAGCCCUCCGCCACCACGCCCAGCUAAUUGUUUGUAUUUUUAGUAUAGACGGAGAUUUCACCAUGUUAGCCAGGAUGGUCUCGAUUUCCUUACCUCAUGAUCCCCUGCCUCGGCCUCCCAAAGUGCUGGGAUUACAGGCGUGAACCAAGGCGCCCGGCCGGAGUAGGAAUUUUAUGGGUUAUAAACUAAGGAUAUGGAGGUCGACUUGAGGAAGAAACCUGGAGUAUAAAAAUUCAGUUUGGAAAAAGACGUUUUGUCUCUUAAACUGAAGCACAUUCCUGCCAUUCAUUCGGACCAUACGAAGAUAAAACUAAAAACUUUUCUCUAAAGCUCCUGGUGAUGGUAGUUGAGUCAAUGAGCCACCAGCAACAACAAAGGACAAAAAGACUGCCAAAAAGUUCUAUGGCACAAGAAGUUUGAGAACUAGUGCUGUGGAUACCAUCUAUACAGCAAAGCACUAUGCUUCUGACGAUAGACCCUGCUUUCCUAAUUGAUCAAGAGAUAAAUAAGUGAUUCCAGCUGGCUAAAUGUGUGUUGCUGGCAAUAUGUGGCCCCAGGGGAGAGGCAAAAGUGGAGGUUCCCGAGUCAUCUGAGAUUUGUUGCCUCGGAACAGGAUCCACAGCUCAAUAAUAGUCACUGUACUGUCAUUGUUUAUUUGAAAUCUAAAGGUGUAAUGCAAGAAUAUGCAAGACCACAGGGACUGGAGACACAAAGAGCAUCUGAAGAGAGCUUGAAUGACUCCCAACAGUUCCAGUCUCAAAGUUACCAUGUGCAGCACAGUCAGGGCAGCAUGUGAGAAGAACAACAAGAAAGCUGGGGUCUGCCAGAGAAGACGGAAGCCCUCACAUUAAACUGAGUCAGCUGGCAUCUUGAUCUUGGACUUUCAAAUCUCCAGAACUGUGAGAAAUAAAUUAAGGGAAGAGACAGCUUGGAGUCUCCCACGGAUACAUGAAUGCAUCUACCUGGAAAUAAUACAUCACUUCCACUCACGUUUCAUUGGCCGAAGAAUAUCAAGGGGAUGGGGAAGUUCAGUGACCACUCCCUUCCACCCCCACCAUAAACUGAAGGAAGAGAAGAACUGGAAACACAGGAGGUGCUUCUAAGAUGGCU
rnacentral:lncRNA from 10 species